GACGAACGCUGGCGGCGUGCUUAACACAUGCCAGUCGAACGGAAAGGCCCUGCUUUUGUGGGGUGCUCGAGUGGCGAACGGGUGAGUAACACGUGAGUAACCUGCCCUUGACUUUGGGAUAACUUCAGGAAACUGGGGCUAAUACCGGAUAAGAGCUCCUGCUGCAUGGUGGGGGUUGGAAAGUUUCGGCGGUUGGGGAUGGACUCGCGGCUUAUCAGCUUGUUGGUGGGGUAGUGGCUUACCAAGGCUUUGACGGGUAGCCGGCCUGAGAGGGUGACCGGCCACAUUGGGACUGAGAUACGGCCCAGACUCCUACGGGAGGCAGCAGUGGGGAAUAUUGCACAAUGGGCGGAAGCCUGAUGCAGCAACGCCGCGUGCGGGAUGACGGCCUUCGGGUUGUAAACCGCUUUCGCCUGUGACGAAGCGUGAGUGACGGUAAUGGGUAAAGAAGCACCGGCUAACUACGUG
rnacentral:rRNA from 1 species